GACGAACGCUGGCGGCGUGCUUAACACAUGCAAGUCGAACGGAAAGGCCCUGCUUUUGUGGGUUGCUCGAGUGGCGAACGGGUGAGUAACACGUGAGUAACCUGCCCUUGACUUUGGGAUAACUUCAGGGAACUGGGGCUAAUACCGGAUAGGAGCUCCUGCUGCAUGGUGGGGGUUGGAAAGUUUCGGCGGUUGGGGAUGGACUCGCGGCUUAUCGGCUUGUUGGUGGGGUAGUGGCUUACCAAGGCUUUGACGGGUAGCCGGCCUGAGAGGGUGACCGGCCACAUUGGGACUGCGAGACGGCCCAGAAGCCUACGGGAGGCAGCAGUGGGGAAUAUUGCACAAUGGGCGGAAGCCUGAUGCAGCAAUGCCGCGUGCGGGAUGACGGCCUACGGGUUGUAAACCGCUUUCGCCUGUGACGAGGCGGGAGUGACGGUAAUGGGUAAAGAAGCACCGGCUAACUACGUG
rnacentral:rRNA from 1 species